AUACGUAGGUGACAAGCGUUAUCCGGAUUUACUGGGCGUAAAGGGCGUGUAGGCGGUCUUGCAAGUCAGAAGUGAAAUUCCUGAGCUCAACUCGGGCGCUGCUUCUGAAACUGCAGGACUUGAGUGCUGGAGGGGAUAGCGGAAUUCCUAGUGGAGCGGUAAAAUGCGCAGAUAUUAGGAAGAACACCGGUGGCGAAGGCGGCUAUCUGGUCAUUAACAGACGCUGAGGCGCGAAAGCGUGGGGAGCAAACAGGAUUAGAUACCCUGGUAGGCCACGCCGUAAACGAUGAAUACUAGGUGUAGGGGGUAUCGACUCCCUCUGUGCCGCAGUUAACACAAUAAGUAGUCCGCCUGGGGAGUACGGCCGCAAGGUUGAAACUCAAAUGAAUUGGCGUGG
rnacentral:rRNA from 1 species